AUUGAACGCUGGCGGCAUGCCUUACACAUGCAAGUCGAACGGCAGCACGGACUUCGGUCUGGUGGCGAGUGGCGAACGGGUGAGUAAUGUAUCGGAACGUACCUCUCAGUGGGGGCUAACGUAGCGAAAGUUACGCUAAUACCGCAUAUUCUGUGAGCAGGAAAGCAGGGGAUCGCAAGAUCCUGCGCUGAUUGAGAGGCCGAUAUCAGAUUAGCUAGUUGGUGGGGUAAAGGCCUACCAAGGCUACGAUCUGUAGCGGGUCUGAGAGGAUGAUCCGCCACACUGGAACUGAGACACGGUCCAGACUCCUACGGGAGGCAGCAGUGGGGAAUUUUGGACAAUGGGGGCAACCCUGAUCCAGCCAUGCCGCGUGAGUGAAGAAGGCCUUCGGGUUGUAAAGCUCUUUCGGCCGGGAAGAAAUCGCAUAGGCUAAUACCCUGUGUGGAUGACGGUACCGGAAUAAGAAGCACCGGCUAACUACGUGCCAGCAGCCGCAGUAAAAC
rnacentral:rRNA from 1 species